CAGUUCCCCGUUGAUUCUGGUGAUGUGUGCUAGUUUUAAAAAGACUCUAAAUUAGGAUGAUCAACUUUUUUCCUUACUUAAUCCAGCAUCGAUGUCGCUAUCCACUGCGCGGAGGACAGGAGUGAAUGGAGGAACAUAGUCCUAGCAAAAGUGCUCCGUAAAGGUCACAACCCCUCAGCACUGAGGAAUAUGACGCACGGAGGAGGAAUCGCUGGUAGUCUAAGUAGCUAUUCCAGCUACGCUCAAGCGUUCAGACCAGCUCACUUGUUCAACAUGACAGAGCAUGCUAGCACUAGUCCUAGCAAGAGCAAUGCUUCGCUGAAUCUACCACCGGAUCCGAAUCGCGACCCACUGAGAAGAUCCGUCGAGAAACUCAGGAGCCAUCAGUUGUAGCUGAAAAAAUAGUAUCUUAGGACGUUAAAAUCGAUCGAAAAUCAAGAAUACUUCAAGGAAGAAAUUUGUGUCCUUGUGCGAACUCACAACACAACCUGUGAGCUGGGGUUCAGCUGUGCCCCUAGAAUUGCUGAUGUCCAUGAGCAUCAUGACCACUAAACAUGAAGGAUGCUCGUCUAAACAUUAAUAUUUAAAAAAAAAUUGAUAAAGAUGUCAGGAGCUAACGAGCGAGUUUGUAUCUAUAUAUUAAUACGUGAAGCAAAAACUUUGUAUCCCUUUUUACGAAAAUUGGGCGGACGAAGGAGUAUGAAAUUUUCCACACAUAGAGAAUAUAGAGAAGAAGUGCACAAUGCUAAUAUUUUUUUUAAAUAAUGCGUAAAAGAUACAUUAAAUCAAUAAAGAAAACAUUACACACACUACAUACCAUGUAUUUGACGCACACACGCAUGCAUACUAUUUAUUGUCAAACUUUUGUUCUUGACGUCUGUUGUCAAAUUGAGAAGAGAUUAAAUAUUGUUUGUCUUUGUUAAUAUUUUUUAUAGUGUAGUCUUGGCGAAAUUUGGGAUUAUAGCAGUAUAAAAUAUAAUCAUAAUUGUGUAAAAACUUACAAUUCCAAUUAAUUAUAUUUUCGACUACUGCGGGACCUCUAGUAUAGAUAAAUACAUUAGAUGUCUACAUAACUAUUUUUAUAUAAAAAUAUUGGGUAUUACAGUUACCGGCCCAAUUAUUUUAAAACGAAAUCAAUGAGCUUUUUGGCACUCGCACACCGUAACUAAAAUUACUUUUACGAUUUUAUUCUAAGAUUUUCAUUGCUAUUAUGUCAUAAUAUGUAGGUAUCAAUUCAGAAGUUUCGAAUAGUUUCUAGUUUUUUUUCAUUGCUUAGAUGGGUGGACGAGCUCACAACCCACCUGGUGUUAAGUGGUUACGGGAGCCCGUAGACGUCUACAACGUAAAAGCACCACCCACUUUUAUAUAUAAGUUCUAAGGUCUCAGUAUAGUUACAACGGCUGCCCCACCCUUCAAGCCGAAACGCAUUACUGCUUCACGGCAAAAAUAGAUGGAGAAUAUUUUUACGUGAACCGACGACUAAAAUGUUUCCUUAAAUUAAAUCCAGAUUAAACCGUCAAGGUAAAUGAAUUAUAAGAUGAAUAAGCUUCGGAAGUUCUGCAGCGAGUUCUUGUAUGUUUGAAAGUUGUACACUUGCGCGUUGAAGUGUAAUUUUGUUUUUCCUACCUAAGCUGGUAGCCUUGAGAGGCUAUUCCAGCGUAACCUUAACUAUUAGGUGAGCUCACGGGGCUCAAACCUGACGACGUUGCUAACACGGACCCUAGCAAAAGCCGUGCUUCGCAGAAUCUACCACCGGAUCGGAAACGCGACCCACCAAGAAGAUCCGGCGAGAAACUCUGUGGACUGAAGUGUAAUAGAAAUUACACCACUGACCGCAAAUAAUGGAAUAAUAAUAAUAAUAAUUGAAAACGGGUUUUUCACAGAUCGAAUCUGUUUGAAAUAACGUUAUUACAAUUCGAAAUGCCGGACAUUUCAAGGAUUCUCCAAGUUAAACAGUUACCGAAACUAGAGAAUAGCGCUUAUUCGCUCAUUGUCCAAGAUAAACUACGAUCAGUUAUACUAUUGAGUUAUUGCUUUGUUGUUAAUACAAUAAAUCGACAAGUUGCCAACUUCGGAACACCGGACUUACGGACCAAGAAAUUAAACUAGGACUCCCGCUGACCAUAAUAGUUCGAUAGUGAUGUGUAGUUACCGUUUAUUUUUAAUAUCGAUAAAUAUAAAAAGUUUUAAAUUGCUUUUUGUUUCAAUCAAUAGAUUUCAAAUGAGAGAAGCGGGGCGUUUAUUUGAAUAUAUUAACAGUACCCAAUUUAAUGGAUACAUCAGUAAUUUUCAUCUUAAUAUUUAAUAAUGUUAUGUAAAAGACUAUUUGCGUGAAAUCACAAAUCACACUAUUGAAUGCUCUAAACGUAGAUAUUGCGCAGUAAAUAUAACUGAACAAAACCAUUACAAAUUCUUUAUUACAAUGAUUUACUGGUGGGAGGACCUCUUGAGAGUCUGCGCGGGUAGGUACCACCACCCCGCCUAUUUCUGCUUACUGGUGGUAGGACCUCUUGAGAGUCUGUGUGAGUAGGUACCACCACCCCGCCUAUUUCUGCCGUGAAGCAGUAAUACGUUUCGGUUUGAAGGACGGGGCAGCCAUUGUAACUAUACUGAGACCUUAGAACUUAUAUCUCAAGUUGGGUGGCGCAUUUACGUUGUAGAUGUCCAUGGGCUCCAGUAACCACUUAACACCAGGUGGGCUGUGAGCUCGUCCACCUAUCUAUGCAAAAAAAGAAAGAUAGUACAGCCGCUAGUAAACCUAUCGAUCGUUACUAAUUUUAAACGAAUGAUCGAAUAUAGAGUAUAGUAAUCGAUAUAUUAUGUAAGUGUGAUAAUCACUAGCGGGUGUUUCUGAACGCCGUAUUUAAGCUGAAAUUGUAGCUUACUUAUUACCUGAGAUCGCAAAACUUGCUGGAAACUCUACACAGUCCAAACGAAUAAUGUUCUAACUGACAUCACUUCUCUAAGUUUUUGCCAGGUACCAUCCGGCUAUGGAAUGAGCUCCCCUCCACGGUGUUUCCCGAGCGCUAUGACAUGUUCUUCUUUAAAAGAGGCUUCUGGAGAGUAUUAAGCGGUAGGUAGCGGCUUGGCUCUGCCCCUGGCAUUGCUGAAGUCCAUGGGCGACGGUAACCACUCACCAUCAGGUGGGCCGUAAGCUCGUCUGCCUACAAGGGCAAUAAAAAAAAUUACAUUAAACUUUUUAUUCAUUCAAAAAAAUCUACACGAAGCGAAGAAAUUAAAAAAAAAAACAAUAUUUUCAUUAGAAUAUUAUAAACUGGAGCUUUCGAAUGAAUAUUAAGUAUUGAUGCUUAUUAUGGCAUGUUUUAAUUAAGUAAUAUCUAAAUAAAUAGAUAAAUAUCGACUCGUUACAUCUAAGUAGUGAAAGUUAAAAACUCAUGUAAGGCUAAGGUUUGAUGUUAUAAAUCUAUGAUUUAAGCCUCUCAGAUUGAGCAUUUGAAACUGGAAUUGGUUCUAAUGUAUUAAGAACUCAUGAAGUAAGAUUGUUUGAAGGAGUUGCUCAAGUAAUUCGUGUCUAGAAGUCGAGAACCUAAGAAAAAAGUGCUUGCUUUUCUACAAAUUCGUGUAAUAAUCUACGAAAGCGGUUUUUGUAAAAAGUAUUUUAUUAAUUUGGCAAUAAUACUUGUUUUGAUGGAACUUAAUUCUUUUUAUUGCACGUGUUAAAUUUUUUCGAUUUCAUAUUUGUAACAAACACAAAAAUUUCAUCGGUGUUUGGACCCAAAAAAAACCGUAAAAACAAACUUUGUAUUUUAAAUGCUAAAUGUAGAUAUAUGUAUAAAUUACACAAAUAUAAAAUCAAAAACUUUGAAAUAAAAUGCACUUAUGAAC